AAAGCAAACAUGAUCCUUGAAACACAAGUUGCAUGGACACAGUAUCAGCACAGACACAGCAUCCUGUUUAAUGACUUUUUGUUACAAAGAAAGUAAGGCUGUCGUCUGUCCCUGCUGUUGACGUGACACUAUACAAAGAGGUCUCCAGGAUUUCCAGCCUUCUUCUGAAGCUUCACAGUCUAGUUGCUCAUCCCUGGAGCACAGGAGUAUAGAGGAGCAUGCCUGCGUGUGUGAUCAAGGAAAUCUUACAUCAUUUGACUUGCUCUGAACAAAGGGGAAAGUGCAGAGGACCAGCUGCGUCUGGGAGAGAAGAGACCUCUGCUUCCCGUGGAUGCUGGUGGAGCUCACCUGGCCUUGGCCAGCUAGGGGGGACGUCCAAAAGGAUCAUGAGGUUUUCUGUCUGCUAGUUCUCUAAGUGAACUAAGAGGACAGUUGAUGAAGGUUUGUCAUGGAGGGGGGUUGAAUAAGAGAAAACAGAAUUCGGUGGUUGGGAUGGUACAAAAUAGCAUCUUGGGAUAUGUUGUACCAAUCAGCUGCCCCAUCUCUCAGCUCUCAGCCAGGGCAUGUUCCAGCAUCCCCUGGCCUGGAAAGGUGACUUAGAGGCAGGACAGGACACAGUCGGGGGGGCGGGGGGGACAGUGCUGAGGGCUGAGCGUGACCCCAAGGACGUACCAGGCAUGGGGCCAAUGGGGCAAACCAAUUCUCUUUGGUCCCUGACAUUUCUCUGUGCAUCAGUGAAGCCACCCCUGGAAAGAAGCACACAUCUGGUCCACGUGUCAUUUGCCAGCCAUCCCUGCUGAUCUGUCCUUGCCUGCGAGCAUCUGCCACAAACUGUCCUUGAAGCAACGCAGGGAAGCGCAGGGCCUGUCUUUGCUGCUGCUCUCAUCUCGGCAGCCCAAGGCAUUCAGUUUGUUUAGCUGAAAGGGGGCCUGGGUCAAGGUUUUUAUGUGCCAAGCUGAAUCCAAACAGCAAGAACACGCAGCUGAGCUCAGACCCAGGAUUUGGGCUGCCAGUGACACCGGCAGGAGUGGCAGUACCACACCAGGGACCAGGGCAACGCGGACAGAGAAGAGGGAUGCUGGUGGUGGAUGGGAUGGGAAGCCGUGGGGUCCCUCUCGUGCAGUCCCAGCCAGUUCUUGGGUGGUGGGGGCACAUCACAACCAGGCAGCAGCGGUCCCCAAGGCAGGGCCGGGAGGAUGCUCCUCGCCUGGAGCCCUGCACAAGCCCCCAGGCGUCUCGGGUACCGCUAGAGGCAGCUCUUGUUUUGAGCAUGGAGAAAGCAGCCGGGCGCUCACCCACACUGAGCUGCAGCCCAGGGACUGUGCUGCAGGCAGGAGGGACAGGGCUGCUCCUGCUUGCCCCGAACAACAGCUCUUCCUCUGCCGAUGACCCGCAACCCUUCGCCACAACCCACCCGGGGUCCCACAGCCCAUUCAGCAGCGGCUUUUCUCCAUGGUGGCAACUACAGUGUGUUCAAGCCUGGGUGGGCAAGGGGACACCCAGCACCGUGCCAGCCAACCUGAACCCAGGCAAGAAGGGUUUGUAGGGGACAUGGGAGGCUCAGGGGGCUGAAGGCAGCACCUGGGAGCAGCGAUGUCCGAGGGAGGAGGCUGGACUGAAAGCCAUGUCCUCCCCGCACUGACAGUGAUUCCCUGCCGCUGGCGUCCUGUGGCAGGAGGGCGGGAGAUAAAAGCCGACAGGGAAUGGA